GGAGUUUGGGCCGUGUCUCAGUCCCAAUGUGGCCGACCGCCCUCUCAGGCCGGCUACUGAUCGUCGCUUUGGUGGGCCGUUACCCCGCCAACUGGCUAAUCAGACGCGGGCCCAUCCCAUACCACCGGAGCUUUUCACACUUCAUCAUGCGAUGACGUGCGCUUAUGCGGUAUUAACAGUCGUUUCCAACUGUUAUCCCCCUGUAUGGGGCAGGUUGCCCACGCGUUACUCACCCGUCCGCCACUCAGUCAUAUGCUCUUCCUCCCCGAAGGAAUUCCGUCCAUAUGCUUCGUUCGACUUGCAUGUGUUAAGCACGCCGCCAGCGUUCAUC
rnacentral:rRNA from 1 species